GAUGAACGCUGGCGGCGUGCCUAAUACAUGCAAGUCGAGCGAACAGACGAGGAGCUUGCUCCUUUGACGUUAGCGGCGGACGGGUGAGUAACACGUAGAUAACCUACCUAUAAGACUGGGAUAACUUCGGGAAACCGGAGCUAAUACCGGAUAAUAUUUCGAACCGCAUGGUUCGAUAGUGAAAGACGGCUUUGCUAUCACUUAUAGAUGGAUCUGCGCCGUAUUAGCUAGUUGGUAAGGUAACGGCUUACCAAGGCGACGAUGCGUAGCCGACCUGAGAGGGUGAUCGGCCACACUGGAACUGAGACACGGUCCAGACUCCUACGGGAGGCAGCAGUAGGGAAUCUUCCGCAAUGGGCGAAAGCCUGACGGAGCAACGCCGCGUGAGUGAUGAAGGUCUUCGGAUCGUAAAACUCUGUUAUUAGGGAAGAACAAAUGUGUAAGUAACUGUGCACGUCUUGACGGUACCUAAUCAGAAAGCCACGGCUAACUACGUG
rnacentral:rRNA from 1 species